GAUGAACGCUGGCGGCGUGCCUAAUACAUGCAAGUCGAGCGAACGGACGAGAAGCUUGCUUCUCUGAUGUUAGCGGCGGACGGGUGAGUAACACGUGGAUAACCUACCUAUAAGACUGGGAUAACUUCGGGAAACCGGAGCUAAUACCGGAUAAUAUUUUGAACCGCAUGGUUCAAAAGUGAAAGACGGUCUUGCUGUCACUUAUAGAUGGAUCCGCGCUGCAUUAGCUAGUUGGUAAGGUAACGGCUUACCAAGGCAACGAUGCAUAGCCGACGUGAGAGGGUGAUCGGCCACACUGGAACGGAGACACGGUCCAGACUCCUACGGGAGGCAGCAGUAGGGAAUCUUCCGCAGUGGGCGAAAGCCUGACGGAGCAACGCCGCGUGAGUGAUGAAGGUCUUCGGAUCGUAAAACUCUGUUAUUAGGGAAGAACAUAUGUGUAAGUAACUGUGCACAUCUUGACGGUACCUAAUCAGAAAGCCACGGCUAACUACGUG
rnacentral:rRNA from 1 species